rnacentral:rRNA from 1 species
CGCCCUUAGAGUUUGAUCAUGGCUCAGGACGAACGCUGGCGGCGUGCUUAACACAUGCAAGUCGAACGGGAAGAAACCUCGGUUGAAAGAGUGGCGAACGGGCGAGUAACGCGUGAGCAACCUGCCUAUGACAGUGGGAUAGCCUCGGGAAACCGGGAUUAAUACCGCAUAAAAUCGUAAACACAUGUUCAACGGUCAAAGAUUUAUCGGUCAUAGAUGGGCUCGCGUCUGAUUAGCUAGUUGGUGAGAUAACAGCCCACCAAGGCGACGAUCAGUAGCCGGUCUGAGAGGAUGAACGGCCACAUUGGAACUGAGACACGGUCCAAACUCCUACGGGAGGCAGCAGUGGGGAAUAUUGCACAAUGGGGGAAACCCUGAUGCAGCGACGCCGCGUGAACGAAGAAGGUAUUCGUAUCGUAAAGUUCUGUCCUAUGGGAAGAUAAUGACAGUACCAUAGAAGAAAGCUCCGGCUAAAUACGUGCCAGCAGCCGCGGUAAUACGUAUGGAGCGAGCGUUGUCCGGAAUUAUUGGGCGUAAAGGGUACGCAGCGGUUUAAUAAGUCGAAUGUUAAAGAUCGGGGCUCAACCCCGUAAAGCAUUGGAAACUGAUAAACUUGAGUAGUGGAGAGGAAAGUGGAAUUCCUAGUGUAGUGGUGAAAUACGUAGAUAUUAGGAGGAAUACCAGUAGCGAAGCGACUUUCUGGAC